rnacentral:rRNA from 1 species
GUGAGGAAUAUUGGUCAAUGGUCGGAAGACUGAACCAGCCAUGCCGCGUGCAGGAAGACGGUCCUAUGGAUUGUAAACUGCUUUUAUUUGGGAAUAAACUCCGGUACGUGUACCGGCCUGAAGGUACCAAAUGAAUAAGCACCGGCUAACUCCGUGCCAGCAGCCGCGGUAAUACGGAGGGUGCAAGCGUUAUCCGGAAUCAUUGGGUUUAAAGGGUCCGCAGGCGGUCUUAUAAGUCAGUGGUGAAAGCCUACAGCUCAACUGUAGAACUGCCAUUGAUACUGUAGGACUUGAAUUCGAUCUAAGUGGGCGGAAUGUGACAUGUAGCGGUGAAAUGCUUAGAUAUGUCACAGAACACCGAUAGCGAAGGCAGCUCACUAGGUCUGGAUUGACGCUCAGGGACGAAAGCGUGGGGAGCAAACAGGAUUAGAAACCCCGGUAGUCC